GACGUAGGGUGCAAGCGUUGUCCGGAUUUACUGGGCGUAAAGGGCGCGUAGGCGGUUCGUUAAGUGAGAAGUGAAAUCUCAGGGCUCAACCCUGAAACUGCUUUUCAUACUGGCGAACUUGAGGGAUGCAGAGGUCUGUGGAAUUCCUGGUGUAGCGGUGAAAUGCAUUGAUAUCAGGAGGAACACCCAUGGCGAAGGCAGCAGACUGGGCAUCAUCUGACGCUGAGGCGCGAAAGCGUGGGUAGCAAACAGG
rnacentral:rRNA from 1 species